CCUACGGGUGGCAGCAGUGAGGAAUAUUGGUCAAUGGACGAGAGUCUGAACCAGCCAAGUAGCGUGAAGGAUGACUGCCCUAUGGGUUGUAAACUUCUUUUAUAUGGGAAUAAAAUGUUCCACGUGUGGGAUUUUGUAUGUACCAUAUGAAUAAGGAUAGGCUAACUCCGUGCCAGCAGCCGCGGUAAUACGGAGGAUCCGAGCGUUAUCAGGAUUUAUUGGGUUUAAAGGGAGCGUAGGUGGAUUGUUAAGUCAGUUGUGAAAGUUUGCGGCUCAACCGUAAAAUUGCAGUUGAAACUGGCAGUCUUGAGUACAGUAGAGGUGGGCGGAAUUCGUGGUGUAGCGGUGAAAUGCUUAGAUAUCACGAAGAACACCGAUUGCGAAGGCAGUUCACUGGACUGCAACUGACACUGAGGCUCGAAAGUGUGGGUAUCAAACAGGAUUAGAUACCCGUGUAGUC
rnacentral:rRNA from 1 species